UACGUAGGGUGCAAGCGUUAAUCGGAAUUACUGGGCGUAAAGCGUGCGCAGGCGGCUUUGCAAGACAGAUGUGAAAUCCCCGGGCUUAACCUGGGAACUGCAUUUGUGACUGCAUGGCUGGAGUGCGGCAGAGGGGGAUGGAAUUCCGCGUGUAGCAGUGAAAUGCGUAGAUAUCUGGAGGAACACCGAUGGCGAAGGCGGCAUCCUGGACCAGCACUGACGCUGAUGAGCGAAAGCCAGGGGAGCAAACGGG
rnacentral:rRNA from 1 species